GAUGAACGCUGGCGGCGUGCCUAAUACAUGCAAGUCGAGCGAACAGACGAGGAGCUUGCUCCUCUGACGUUAGCGGCGGACGGGUGAGUAACACGUGGAUAACCUACUUAUAAGACUGGGAUAACUCCGGGAAACCGGAGCUAAUACCGGAUAAUAAUUUGAACCGCAUGGUUCAUUAGUAAAAGCCGGUUUUGCUUUCACUAUUAGAUGGAUCCGCGCCGCAUUAGCUAGUUGGUAAGGUAACGGCUUACCAAGGCAACGAUGCGUAGCCGACCUGAGUGGGUGAUCGGCCACACUGGAACUGAGACACGGUCCAGACUCCUACGGGAGGCAGCAGUAGGGAAUCUUCCGCAAUGGGCGAAAGCCUGACGGAGCAACGCCGCGUGAGUGAUGAAGGUCUUCGGAUCGUAAAACUCUGUUAUUAGGGAAGAACAAAUGUGUAAGUAACUAUGCACGUCUUGACGGUACCUAAUCAGAAAGCCACGGCUAACUACGUG
rnacentral:rRNA from 1 species